UACAGAGGGGGCAAGCGUUGUUCGGAUUUACUGGGCGUAAAGCGCGUGUAGGCGGUUUAGUAAGUUACUUGUGAAAUCUCUGAGCUUAACUCAGAACGGCCAAGUAAUACUGCUGAACUAGAGUGCAGAAGGGGCAAUCGGAAUUCUUGGUGUAGCGGUGAAAUGCGUAGAUAUCAAGAGGAACACCAGAGGCGAAGGCGGAUUGCUGGGCUGACACUGACGCUGAGACGCGAAAGCUAGGGGAGCAAACAGG
rnacentral:rRNA from 1 species